rnacentral:rRNA from 1 species
AACGAACGCUGGCGGCGUGGAUUAGGCAUGCAAGUCGAACGCGAAAGAGGGGGGUAACUCCUCGAGUAGAGUGGCGAACGGGUGGAGUAACACGUGAGAAACCUAGCCUUCAGCAGGGGGAGUAACACUCCCAACCGGGGUGGCUAAUACCGCAUGAGACCACGGAUUCGCAUGGAUCUGGGGUCAAAGGUGGCCUCUGCUUGCAAGCUACCGGCUGAAGAUGGUCUCGCGUCCCAUUAGCUAGUUGGUGGGGUAAUGGCCCACCAAGGCGACGAUGGGGUAGCUGGUCUGNGAGGAUGGUCAGCCACACUGGGACUGAGAUACGGCCCAGACUCCUACGGGAGGCAGCAGUCGAGA